rnacentral:rRNA from 1 species
AACGAACGCUGGCGGCAGGCCUAACACAUGCAAGUCGAGCGCGCCCUUCGGGGUGUUCGUCGUACGGGUUUGUAACGCGUGGGAACGUUCCCUUUUCUACGGCAUAGCCUCGGGAAACUGAGAGUAAUACCGUAUACGCCCUUUUGGGGAAAGAUUUAUCGGAAAAGGAUCGUCCCGCGUUGGAUUAGGUAGUUCGUUGGGUAAUGGCAUACCAAGCCGACGAUUCAUAGCUGGUUUGAGAGGAUGAUCAGCCACACUGGGACUGAGACACGGCCGAGACUCCUACGGGAGGGAGGAGUGGGGAAUCUUAGAAAAUGGGGGCAACGCUGAUCGAGCCAUGCCGGGUGAGUGAUGAAGGCAUUAGGGUUGUAAAGCGCUUUCAGCUGGGAAGAUAAUGACGGUACCAGCAGAAGAAGCCCCGGCUAACUACGUG